UACGUAGGGCGCAAGCGUUGUCCGGAAUUAUUGGGCGUAAAGAGCUCGUAGGCGGUCUGUUACGUCCGCUGUGAAAACCCAGGGCUUAACCCUGGGCUUGCAGUGGAUACGGGUAGACUAGAGGCAGGUAGGGGAGAAUGGAAUUCCCGGUGUAGCGGUGAAAUGCGCAGAUAUCGGGAGGAACACCGGUGGCGAAGGCGGCCCCCUGGACCGGUACUGACGCUGAGGCGCGAAAGCGUGGGUAGCAAACGGG
rnacentral:rRNA from 1 species